rnacentral:rRNA from 1 species
UACGGAGGGAGCUAGCGUUAUUCGGAAUUACUGGGCGUAAAGCGCGCGCAGGCGGUUCUUCAAGUCAGAGGUGAAAGCCCAGAGCUCAACUCUGGAAUGGCCUUUGAGACUAGAGAACUAGGGUACGGGAGAGGUGAGUGGAAUUCCGAGUGUAGAGGUGAAAUUCGUAGAUAUUCGGAAGAACACCAGUGGCGAAGGCGGCUCACUGGCCCGUUACCGACGCUCAGGCGCGACAGCGUGGGGAGCAAACAGG